AUUUAGUCCAUAUUGUUUCAAGUGAAAAUGGUGCUUCUAUACCUUGUUUCAUAAAAUAUUUCCUUUUCUGUUAGCAAGUAUCUAUUGUUCUCUAGUACUUGGGGGAAAAAAUUCUUCAUUUUAAUGAAUAUUACUGCUUCAUGCAAUUGCAUGCUGCAAUACCUUUUAUUUAGCUGACAUGUAAAGGUUGAUCAGACGAUCAGACUUUCAUUUGUUUCUGCUUCUGGUGAAGUUAAAAGUGAGACUUUCACCAACGUUAAUGGAAAAAGGUUUUGAACUAUAGAAAUCAGGGGACCACUCCUAACACCUUUCAAUUUAUGGGAGUUCUGUUAUCAGCUGUAAUGUUAACAGGUUUUCCUGGGGUUUAUUGAUUCCUGUGUGCUGUCUCAUCAUCUACUUCUACUCUUUGAAAGCAAGCAAAUAACAUCUGUGAUAAAGUGGUACAUGUAGGUAAUUCUAAGCCAAGGAUUGUUAUAUACCACAGAAGAAGUGUGAUACAGAGUGGAAAAGGCAGUAAAAUGGAAACUGAGACAUUGAGUUAG
rnacentral:lncRNA from 1 species